rnacentral:rRNA from 1 species
AGAGUUUGAUCAUGGCUCAGAUUGAACGCUGGCGGCAGGCCUAACACAUGCAAGUCGAACGGUAACAGGAAGCAGCUUGCUGCUUCGCUGACGAGUGGCGGACGGGUGAGUAAUGUCUGGGAAGCUGCCUGAUGGAGGGGGAUAACUACUGGAAACGGUAGCUAAUACCGCAUAAUGUCGCAAGACCAAAGAGGGGGACCUUCGGGCCUCUUGCCAUCGGAUGUGCCCAGAUGGGAUUAGCUUGUUGGUGGGGUAACGGCUCACCAAGGCGACGAUCCCUAGCUGGUCUGAGAGGAUGACCAGCCACACUGGAACUGAGACACGGUCCAGACUCCUACGGGAGGCAGCAGUGGGGAAUAUUGCACAAUGGGCGCAAGCCUGAUGCAGCCAUGCCGCGUGUAUGAAGAAGGCCUUCGGGUUGUAAAGUACUUUCAGCGGGGAGGAAGGGAGUAAAGUUAAUACCUUUGCUCAUUGACGUUACCCGCAGAAGAAGCACCGGCUAACUCCGUGCCAGCAGCCGCGGUAAUACGGAAGGUGCAAGCGUUAAUCGGAAUUACUGGGCGUAAAGCGCACGCAGGCGGUUUGUUAAGUCAGAUGUGAAAUCCCCGGGCUCAACCUGGGAACUGCAUCUGAUACUGGCAAGCUUGAGUCUCGUAGAGGGGGGUAGAAUUCCAGGUGUAGCGGUGAAAUGCGUAGAGAUCUGGAGGAAUACCGGUGGCGAAGGCGGCCCCCUGGACGAAGACUGACGCUCAGGUGCGAAAGCGUGGGGAGCAAACAGGAUUAGAUACCCUGGUAGUCCACGCCGUAAACGAUGUCGACUUGGAGGUUGUGCCCUUGAGGCGUGGCUUCCGGAGCUAACGCGUUAAGUCGACGCCUGGGGAGUACGGCCGCAAGGUUAAAACUCAAAUGAAUUGACGGGGGCCCGCACAAGCGGUGGAGCAUGUGGUUUAAUUCGAUGCAACGCGAAGAACCUUACCUGGUCUUGACAUCCACGGAAGUUUUCAGAGAUGAGAAUGUGCCUUCGGGAACCGUGAGACAGGUGCUGCAUGGCUGUCGUCAGCUCGUGUUGUGAAAUGUUGGGUUAAGUCCCGCAACGAGCGCAACCCUUAUCCUUUGUUGCCAGCGGUCCGGCCGGGAACUCAAAGGAGACUGCCAGUGAUAAACUGGAGGAAGGUGGGGAUGACGUCAAGUCAUCAUGGCCCUUACGACCAGGGCUACACACGUGCUACAAUGGCGCAUACAAAGAGAAGCGACCUCGCGAGAGCAAGCGGACCUCAUAAAGUGCGUCGUAGUCCGGAUUGGAGUCUGCAACUCGACUCCAUGAAGUCGGAAUCGCUAGUAAUCGUGGAUCAGAAUGCCACGGUGAAUACGUUCCCGGGCCUUGUACACACCGCCCGUCACACCAUGGGAGUGGGUUGCAAAAGAAGUAGGUAGCUUAACCUUCGGGAGGGCGCUUACCACUUUGUGAUUCAUGACUGGGGUGAAGUCGAAACAAGGUAACCGUAGGGGAACCUGCGGUUG